GGGCGGUGGCGGCGUGCUAUACAUGCAGUCGACGCUUCUUUUUCCACCGGAGCUUGCUCCACCGGAAAAAGAGGAGUGGCGAACGGGUGAGUAACACGUGGGUAACCUGCCCAUCAGAAGGGGAUAACACUUGGAAACAGGUGCUAAUACCGUAUAACAAUCAAAACCGCAUGGUUUUGAUUUGAAAGGCGCUUUCGGGUGUCGCUGAUGGAUGGACCCGCGGUGCAUUAGCUAGUUGGUGAGGUAACGGCUCACCAAGGCCACGAUGCAUAGCCGACCUGAGAGGGUGAUCGGCCACAUUGGGACUGAGACACGGCCCAAACUCCUACGGGAGGCAGCAGUAGGGAAUCUUCGGCAAUGGACGAAAGUCUGACCGAGCAACGCCGCGUGAGUGAAGAAGGUUUUCGGAUCGUAAAACUCUGUUGUUAGAGAAGAACAAGGAUGAGAGUAACUGUUCAUCCCUUGACGGUAUCUAACCAGAAAGCCACGGCUAACUACGUGCCAGCAGCCGCGGUAAUACGUAGGUGGCAAGCGUUGUCCGGAUUUAUUGGGCGUAAAGCGAGCGCAGGCGGUUUCUUAAGUCUGAUGUGAAAGCCCCCGGCUCAACCGGGGAGGGUCAUUGGAAACUGGGAGACUUGAGUGCAGAAGAGGAGAGUGGAAUUCCAUGUGUAGCGGUGAAAUGCGUAGAUAUAUGGAGGAACACCAGUGGCGAAGGCGGCUCUCUGGUCUGUAACUGACGCUGAGGCUCGAAAGCGUGGGGAGCAACAGGAUUAGAUACCCUGGUAGUCCACGCCGUAAACGAUGAGUGCUAAGUGUUGGAGGGUUUCCGCCCUUCAGUGCUGCAGCUAACGCAUUAAGCACUCCGCCUGGGGGAGUACGACCGCAAGGUUGAAACUCAAAGGAAUUGACGGGGGCCCGCACAAGCGGUGGAGCAUGUGGUUUAAUUCGAAGCAACGCGAAGAACCUUACCAGGUCUUGACAUCCUUUG
rnacentral:rRNA from 1 species